GCCGGGUGCGGUGGCAUGUGCCUGUAAUCCAAGUCACUGGGAGGCUGAGGUUGGUGGAUCAAGUGAGUUGAGGAGCUCUGGGCUGCAGCACACUAUGUUGAACGGGUGUCCACGCUAAGUUCGGUAUCGAUAUGGUGUUCCAGGGGGAGCCUGGGACCACCAGGUUGUCUAAGGAGGGGUGAACCGGCCCAGGUCGGAAACGAAGAUGAGGUGAAGAUGAGGCCUCAGAGUCUGAUGUUCAAGAGGUGGACAUUGAGGAGGUCCAGGGAGAAGACAUAGAAGCCUGAGAGGAAGACAACCAAAGCUUU
ensembl:misc_RNA Metazoa_SRP Metazoan signal recognition particle RNA